ACGGGUGAGUAACACGUGGGCAAUCUGCCCUUCACUCUGGGACAAGCCCUGGAAACGGGGUCUAAUACCGGAUAAUACCUGCCUGGGCAUCUGGGUGGGUUGAAAGCUCCGGCGGUGAAGGAUGAGCCCGCGGCCUAUCAGCUUGUUGGUGAGGUAGUGGCUCACCAAGGCGACGACGGGUAGCCGGCCUGAGAGGGCGACCGGCCACACUGGGACUGAGACACGGCCCAGACUCCUACGGGAGGCAGCAGUGGGGAAUAUUGCACAAUGGGCGAAAGCCUGAUGCAGCGACGCCGCGUGAGGGAUGACGGCCUUCGGGUUGUAAACCUCUUUCAGCAGGGAAGAAGCGAGAGUGACGGUACCUGCAGAAGAAGCGCCGGCUAACUACGUGCCAGCAGCCGCGGUAAUACGUAGGGCGCAAGCGUUGUCCGGAAUUAUUGGGCGUAAAGAGCUCGUAGGCGGCUUGUCACGUCGGGUGUGAAAGACCGGGGCUUAACCCCGGUUCUGCAUUCGAUACGGGCUAGCUAGAGUGUGGUAGGGGAGAUCGGAAUUCCUGGUGUAGCGGUGAAAUGCGCAGA
rnacentral:rRNA from 1 species